AUGGGUUUUAUAAUGAGGACUUGAAGCCAGGCAGAGCAGAGGGCAGGCGCAGCAGAGGUAAAGCAAAGGGCCGCAAGUUUUACAGCAGGAUGCACCACGGUCACGUGAUAAAGGACAAGUGGACAGUAGCAACGCCUCAGUGAGGACUCCAGUGUUUUAGUCCCUCAGACGGACACCCUGUAGCAUUAGCCAAUGACAGACCUGACUAUGAUUUCCAGCUGCUGUCCUUGCUUCCAUCCACUGAACCAGGAGAGGAGGCCAUGGUGCAGCCAGCAAGCCCAACUAUGUCAGCAUCCCUGAGAAACUGCCUAAGGAGAUCUCAGAAGAAAGGGAUCAGCAACUCGAAGACUCCAGUAAGAGACAUGAUGUGAUUUCUUUCUCA
rnacentral:lncRNA from 1 species